rnacentral:rRNA from 1 species
GGGUUUAAUUCGAUGAUACGCGAGGGAACCUUACCCGGGCUUGAAUUGCAGAGGAAGGAUUUGGAGACAAUGACGCCCUUCGGGGUCUCUGUGAAGGUGCUGCAUGGUUGUCGUCAGCUCGUGCCGUGAGGUGUCGGCUUAAGUGCCAUAACGAGCGCAACCCCUCUCCUUAGUUGCCAUCAGGUCAAGCUGGGCACUCUGGGGACACUGCCACCGUAAGGUGUGA